rnacentral:rRNA from 1 species
GAAGGGUGCAAGCGUUACUCGGAAUUACUGGGCGUAAAGCGUGCGUAGGUGGUGGUUUAAGUCUGUCGUGAAAGCCCUGGGCUCAACCUGGGAAUUGCGAUGGAUACUGGAUCACUAGAGUGUGGUAGAGGGAUGCGGAAUUUCCGGUGUAGCAGUGAAAUGCGUAGAGAUCGGAAGGAACAUCUGUGGCGAAGGCGGCAUCCUGGGCCAACACUGACACUGAGGCACGAAAGCGUGGGGAGCAAACAGGAUUAGAUACCCUGGUAGUCCACGCCCUAAACGAUGCGAACUGGAUGUUGGGUGCAACUUGGCACCCAGUAUCGAAGCUAACGCGUUAAGUUCGCCGCCUGGGGAGUACGGUCGCAAGACUG